GGAAAGCUGCCAGAGUGGUCGAAUGGGCCGCACUCGAAAUGCGGUGAACGGGUAACUGUUCCGGGGGUUCGAAUCCCUCGCUCUCCG
rnacentral:tRNA from 1 species